CAGGACAGCCAGAGCUACAUAGGGAAACCCUGUAUUGGAAAACCAAAAAUUAAAAACCAAUAGCUCUCUGCCCUGUUCCUCUCACCUGCACUCUGGGCGCCUUCCCUUCUACCCUCCAGCUCCCUACACAACUUGUUCUUAUUUAUUCCUUUACAUUGUAUCACAUGCAUCUUUCCACUACAGAGCUUGCUCCAGGAUGUAUUUCUUUGUAUAUCUUAGAAACAGGGCUUAGAUCUCAAAUCUGGAACAGACACUCUGGGCCAAUGACAAAAGACACAGCUAUGUUACCUGCUUGAGAACAUUUCCUUCAGCCCAGAUGGAGACGGUGACAGCAGACCAAGGAAAGCAUCCAUCCAUGGUCAGCUCGGUGAACCCUGAGCUCCCUGGUUAUUCACAGAAACAUGUGUGAGUCGGGGGAUAACCGCUGAGCAGCCCUGCCCAGUGUGCAUGUCCACUCACAACAGCUGCAUCACUGAAGACCCCUGCACAGCUCCCAGCAGCCUCCUCUCCCUCAGGAACUACUGCUGGUCCAACCCCAACAGGGACUUGCUAUACUGUGUGAGCUCAGUGAAUCUGUAGCCAUUGUGUUUCCUGGGCCUCAUCAGCCUCCUCCUGGCUACAGCAGGGAAUGUUUCAGUCUGGAGGAGAAAGUCAUGCAGUCACCUCCAGCUUCUGCAGAGGCUCUGUUUAUUAAUACAACCUGUGGUCAAAUGUGGUUACGGGGAAACUCAGCUCCCUGUCCCCUCACACUGAGCUCAGGGUCACCUGAGAUGUCCCCUCAG
rnacentral:lncRNA from 1 species